rnacentral:rRNA from 1 species
UACGGGGGGGAGCAAGCGUUGUUCGGAUUUACUGGGCGUAAAGGGCGCGUAGGCGGCCAGCGCAAGUCAGUUGUGAAAUCUCCGGGCUUAACUCGGAAAGGUCAACUGAUACUGCGCGGCUAGAGUGCAGAAGGGGCAACUGGAAUUCUCGGUGUAGCGGUGAAAUGCGUAGAUAUCGUAAGGAAGUCCAGUGGCGAAGGCGGGUCUCUGGACAGUUCCUGACGCUGAGGCACGAAGGUCAGGGGAGCAAACGGG